AUGAGCUUCAUCAAGUUUAAUUUUACAGGCAUUAGCUCCUUCACCAAGAAACUCCUUUUCCAAAAAGACUGCCCGACUACCGACAAACACCUUUUGUUCUGCAGUGAGGUAGAAGUAGUACCCUUUAGUUUCUUUUGGAUACCCUACGAACAAGCAUCUAUCAGACUUCGGUCUAAACUUAUCUGUCUUUAAAUACUUAACAUAAGCUAGAUACCCCCAGACCC
rnacentral:lncRNA from 1 species